rnacentral:rRNA from 1 species
GACGUAGGGUCCAAGCGUUGUCCGGAUUUACUGGGCGUAAAGAGCGCGUAGGCGGCUCGUUAAGUGUAGAGUGAAAUCUCUGGGCUCACCCCAGAAACUGCUCUGCAUACUGGCGAGCUGGAGUGAUGAAGAGGUUUGUGGAAUUCCUGGUGUAACGGUGAAAUGUGUUGAUAUCAGGAGGAACGCCCAUGGCGAAGGCAGCAAACUGGUCAUCAACUGACGCUGAGGCGCGAAAGCGUGGGUAGCAAACAGG